rnacentral:ribozyme from 1 species
AGGAGCCUGUCUGCCCCCCAAUCACCAAAGGCAAAGCAAUCAGAUUAUCCACUGUCUCUCAAGAACAACCAUGAUCCGCACCACUACUACUCUUCUUCUUUUUGCC